rnacentral:rRNA from 1 species
GACGAACGCUGGCGGCGUGCUUAACACAUGCAAGUCGAACGGAAAGGCCCUGCUUUUGUGGGGUGCUCGAGUGGCGAACGGGUGAGUAACACGUGAGUAACCUGCCCUUGACUUUGGGAUAACUUCAGGAAACUGGGGCUAAUACCGGAUAGGAGCUCCUGCUGCAUGGUGGGGGUUGGAAAGUUUCGGCGGUUGGGGAUGAACUCGCGGCUUAUCAGCUUGUUGGUGGGGUAGUGGCUUACCAAGGCUUUGACGGGUAGCCGGCCUGAGAGGGUGACCGGCCACAUUGGGACUGAGAUACGGCCCAGACUCCUACGGGAGGCAGCAGUGGGGAAUAUUGCACAAUGGGCGGAAGCCUGAUGCAACAACGCCGCGUGCGGGAUGACGGCCUUCGGGUUGUAAACCGCUUUCGCCUGUGACGAAGCGUGAGUGACGGUAAUGGGUAAAGAAGCACCGGCUAACUACGUG